UCCAUAUCAAACCCAAGCAACCACCUCAACACCACCGACUUUUCCUGCUCGAAGAACCUCUUCAACAUCAACCCCGGCACCCGCCCGGCCGAUAUCACCGCCGCCAAGUCCUUCGGCAGACUCUCCGACGCCUCGGCCAUGGCGGUGGAUGCAGCUUUUGAAACCCCGUCUCCUCCGUUUUACUCCCCUUCUUCCCAUUUCAGCCCGCAGCGCCACUUCUACCUCGCCGUCGACAGACACCAGUUCAAGAUGGAGACGUUGAUGGACUUAUUGGGCGUGGCGGGUCGGCGUCCUGGGUUGCCCAUGGUGGUCUGCUGCAGCUCACGUGACGAGCUCGACGCCGUUAGCUCCGCCGUCGCCAACGUCCCCUAUAUCUCUUUGGCUUCUCUGUACACUGACCUUGCUGAAGCAGACCGUUCUUUAAUAUUAGAGCAUUUUCGGCAAGCAACAAUGAGGUGGAACCCAGAAUUGAGUGCUCAAUCAGCAGUUGAUAAUGAGUCUGUGAAAGAUGAACAAAAAUCUCAUAUGAUAGUUGCAACAGAUGCAUGCCUUCCGCUGCUUGCUUCUGGGGAGUCACCUAUAGCUGCCCGUGUUCUUAUAAAUUAUGAGUUACCGACAAAGAAGGAAACAUAUACAAGGCGUAUGACAACUUGUUUGGCUGCAGAUGGGAUUGUAAUCAACAUGGUUGUCGGGGGUGAGGUAGUAACUCUCAAAAGUCUUGAAGAAAGUAGCAACCUGGUCAUAGCCGAGAUGCCCAUACAUGAUUUUCUCCAGCAGCGGAAUCUGAGGAAGAUUUGAAAAACUGAGAAAUCGUUUUGUUCUCCACUUGUUAAUUGGUGGAGAUGUCAAGUUAUGUGGGUAUUCACAAUAGGGUAUUUUCUCCCCAAUAGUGCUCGUGGAGCCUUCUCGUUUCUUGCCAAUGUUUUCAAAACUUUGAAGUAGCCGUCAACUCCCCACCCACAUCCCCAGCUAUUUCUUACUUUCCAAUACCCGGGUCCGUAUCCGCAUAUGUUGACGAAGUGAAAACCGAAUCCGUAACCGCAUCGUUCGCAAUGAUACUUUGCAUCUUUGGUAUAUAGCUCACAGUCCUUAUCUUGACAUUUGUCGCAAUUUUGUAAUGUAUUUAUAUAUCCAAGUACUGCCUGCAUAUGAAACAAGAAUAAAGAUUGUUUUUUGUGCUGAUUGAAAAGGUGAGAAAUGUUUUUCAAAUAUUUUGUAUACUGUUCGGUUAGGUUGGAGACCAUGGACUCAUUUUUUGUAUAAAUUCAUUGGGCUAUGCUUAUUAUUCUGUGUAAGUUUUCUGGUCUGUCAAAGAGUGAGUUGUGUUGUGCUGUGUUGGAUGUUGUUAACAUUUGCAUUUGAUGUUAGGCAGUGGUGGAUAUUAUUAGGGGGCAUUAGGGAUUUCUUUCCAGAAGAACUUAUUUUUAAAAUUUUGAUAAGCCAAUGGUUUGGUGAAGUUGUAAAAAGCUGCUUUAAAACUUCUGCAGGGUUGCCUGUAAAAGCUACUUUGUAAUUAGGUGACAGGCCAUGUCCCUCCAAUUAUGUUGUUUUUUUUACGUUUUUCUUUUCUGGGUUUGGUGUAUACCAGUUAGCAGUCGACUCUUCUUUGUAUUCGGAUUGCAGCUGCAGACCUCUAUGUUCUCAUCUGAGAAAUUUUACUACUAACGGUGUGAUCACUCAUCUGUAAGUUUAUUGAUCUCCUUACAGUUUUUGUAUUUUUGGAUUUGGAAGCUCUCAAUUUUCUCAGAGUUUGUCAUUACUAUGAGAAUAGGGGCAUUGUUUUUACUGUGAGAUAGGGCUUUGUCUACUUCACGAUUAGAUAAUUUACUUCUUAUUAAUAAUUGAUUUAAAUUUCAUUUUAGUUUUAUGCUAAC